GCCGAUAUAGCUCAGCUGGUAGAGCAACGGUUUCGUAAACCGUAGGUCGUGGGUUCGAAUCCCAUUGUCGGCU
rnacentral:tRNA from 1 species